rnacentral:rRNA from 1 species
GACCUUCGUUCAUUUCUCCGUAGCGGCGACGGGUGAGUACACGUGAGCAACCUGCCCCUGCACUCCGGGAUAAGCGGUGGAAACGCCGUCAAAUACCGGAUACGACCCUUGGCCUCCUGGCCGGGGGUGGAAAGUCUUUUCGGUUGGGGAUGGGCUCGCGGCCUAUCAGCUUGUUGGUGGGGUAACGGCCUACCAAGGCGAUUACGGGUAGCCGGCCUGAGAGGGCGACCGGCCACACUGGGACUGAGACACGGCCCAGACUCCUACGGGAGGCAGCAGUGGGGAAUAUUGCACAAUGGGCGAAAGCCUGAUGCAGCGACGCCGCGUGGGGGAUGACGGCCUUCGGGUUGUAAACCUCUUUUACCACUAACGCAGGCCCGGAGUUCUCUUCGGGUUGACGGUAGGUGGGGAAUAAGGACCGGCUAACUACGUGCCAGCAGCCGCGGUAAUACGUAGGGUCCGAGCGUUGUCCGGAAAUAUUGGGCGUAAAGAGCUCGUAGGCGGCGCGUCGCGUCUGCUGUGAAAAGACCGGGGGCUUAACUCCGGUUUUUGC